GUCGUUGCCGUCGUCGCAUCCGUCGUCGUUGUCGUUGUCGUUGUCGUUGCCGUUGCCGUUGUCGCUGUGGUUGUUGUUGUCGCCGCACUCCAUCUAGUUGUUGUUGGUGCCGCAGGCAACACACCAAGCAACCAGGCAGCAGAGCCAGCAACAUCGGGCUUUCGAGCGCCAGCAGAACAACAAUUAAACAACACAAGCCCCAUACAAUAUGAGUUCGCCAAACGGAAAAUUCAUUUGCGCAUAUGGAAUGCUGCACACAUAGAUAUACGCAUAUAUAUAUAUAUAGCCCUGCAUAUACAUAUAGAUAUUUAGCUAUAUGAAAAUAUAUGUUAUACACACACAAAUCUACAUAAAAUCUAAGUGCAAACCAAUUGUGAUUUAAGCUAAUGACCACAACCACAAAACUGAAGAGGCGCAGAAAAACGGCGAGAAAAGUGUAUAGAAAUUUUUCAAGUUUAUUAAGUAAAUGGAAGUCAAACAAAGCCUUGUAAAUAGCCAAAUAAAAUAACUAAGGAACCGAAACUCUUUUCUUAAUGAUAAUAACAAAGAAAAAUCAAAGAAAACCCAAGGGAAAUCAAAGAAAAAACAAGGAAAAAUCAAAGAAAAACCCAAGAAAAACCAUGACAAAACCCGAAAAACAAACAACGAAUAAGCAGACAACGCCGUUUACAACUUGUUAGAGAAAUGCAUUGCUGAACAACUGGAGAAUAUAGACGACUCCCUGAAAAACCGCGGGGCCUGCGAACUCGCAACGAUCUCAACGCAAAAAUGGCACCGAAACGCACUGGGCAACUACAGCAACAAGGGACGCAACCAACUGGGCAAAGGCCGCUGCAGCAGCAACAGCAAUUAGAGACAACAACAAAGGCCCGGCAACGAUAUAGAGCGGUGGAAAAAUGAAACAAAAAGCCGAAACGAAUUUUCCACUCAAAUUUGCAUUCAGCCAAAGAAGUACGGAGGUCUAGCAAAAAGGGAAGAGGAACAACACUCGCAGAACAACAAAAAACGGCGCACACUAAGAAAGUCGCCAGUGAAAAGGGGUCAGAGGGCACGCACAAACAAACAGACCGCAUAAAACUCACAUAAAACAUUCAACACACAAACGGACACAAAGGACGACGAGUGCAUUGUGAACAAUUUUCAACGAAUUUCCAAAAGUCUACAAAACAAAUUUAACAAAAGUUCAUUACAAAUAACAAAAGAAAGGCAUAAAAAAUAUUUGAAAUUUGCUCUGUGAUUUUCUAUCAGAAAUGGUUUAGUAAUCCAAAUAAUAAUAAUAAUAUUUAAUAACACAAAGUAUUUAUAAAUAUUGCUAAGCUGCAUUCCAAGCAACUGAACAAGAGAGAAGUUUAUCAGAUCCCCAAGGAAAAGCUUUAAAUUCAAUCGAAAACGUAAACCGAAAAUUUCUAUAAAUAUUACCAACCAAAGUUUACUACACUGCGCCUAGGUAGAGCAGCCAACGCUAGUCAAGUACCGAAACACGUCAACGAACUCCGAUCAGAACCAUAAUUCCCGUGAAGGACAUCCACAGACCGGAGCCAUGGACGAAAUGCCCGACCUGUCGCACCUCACGCCCCACGAGCGGAUGCAGAUCGAGAACGUGCUCAUGCGGCAGAAGCAGGAGGAGGAGAAGCAGAACGAGAUCAUGCGGCGCAAACAGGACGAGGUGGUCACGCUGGAGAUGCAAAUCAGACAGCGCUCCGAGCAGCAGAAGAAGGCCGGCGUCGAGCUGGAUGCCACCUGUCACAUAUGCCUUAAGACCAAGUUCGCCGACGGAGUGGGCCACAUCUGCCACUACUGCAACAUACGCUGCUGCGCCCGCUGCGGCGGCAAGGUGACGCUGCGCAGCAACAAGGUGAUUUGGGUGUGCAUCCUGUGCCGCAAGAAGCAGGAGCUGCUGUCCAAGACUGGCCAGUGGAUCAACAAGACGGCGGCCCAGCAAGAUGGUUUCAUCCGACGCAUCGAGCCGGAUGGCAGCAGCGACAUCUCGCAGCACCCCAUCGUGGAUCCGCACGACACCACGGACAAGCGGCCCAAGCUGGAGCGGACGCGCAGUGCCGCCGAGAAGGAGAACCUGCCCAUGCAGCGGGCGGGCAGCAUGCUGCGGCGCCAGUACUCGCAGCAGGAGCAGCCCACCAACCGCCGCCUCUCGGCCUCCGACAGCGGGAUGGACCCCAUGAUGAGUCCCGGCCAGCAGAUGCAGCACCACCAGCAGCAGCAGCAGCGCUCCCGGAUGCAGCCCAUGAAUCCGCAGCAGGCGCAGCAGGGAUACGGAGGGCAGCAGCAGCGGUCGGGUGGCGUCUAUCCCGACGACGAUCCAAGAUACUAUCAGGGUGAACUGGAUGGCCUGAUGAGGCAGCAUCCGCACCUGGCGCACCCCAGCCAGGUGCAGCCGCAACAUCAGCCGCAGUCGCAGUCGCACACGCAGCACCAGCAGCAGCAGCAACACCUAAUGCCGCAGCAGCAUCGCCAAUCGCCGCAGCAACAUCCGCAGCAGCAGCAGCAGCAAUUUGCAGCCAGGCAGCAACAGCAGCAGCACCAUCAGCAGCAGCAAUCCUACCAGGCGCAGAUACACCAGCAGCCGCAGCAACAUCCGCAUCCGCAUCCCCAUCAGCAGCAGCAGCAGCAGCACCAGCAGCAACAUCAGACGAUGCAGCAGCAGCAUGGCCAGCAGGCGGGGCAGAUGGGUGGCUACCAGAAGCCGCCACCUUUGACCCGCAACCUGACCAUCAGCGGGGGUCAUGCCAUGGACUCCAGUGCCUACAGCCAGCAGCAACAGCAGCAGCAGCAGCGGCGAGCCCUGGCCGGGUCGCAGUACGCCUCGCAGCAGCAGAGAUCCUUCAGCAGCUCGGAGGAGGAGUUCCAGCAGCAGCUGCUGGCCGCGCAGGCGCAGGCGGCCGGAUCGGGGGGCGUGGCCACGGUGACCGCCGGCUCGGACUAUGACGGCGGGCGCCUCCAGGUGCGCACCUCUCUGGAUCCGUGGCGCCAGCAGCGCAGCCUCAACGAGCGGGAUCUGCUCAGCGCCGGCGGCGGUGGUGGUGCCCUAGGCGGUGCUGACUUCCGCCAUCGGCUCUACGCCUCCGCCGAUCAGCGGGAUCGCUACGAGCUGCAGCUGCAGCACCGCGAGCGCUUGGAGCAGUAUCCGCUGACGCGCACCGCUCGCUUGGACGUCCAGCAGCGCAACUCGCUGAACCGCAGCAACCACGAGCGGCACUUCUCGAGCGGAUCAGGUGGAGGAGGAGGAGGAGCGGGUGGAGCGGUUGGAGCGGCUGGAGCCGGUGGUGGUGCUGCUGGCGCUUACCGACGUGCCCCGCCCUUGGCAGCCGCCGGCGGCGGUGGCAGCAGCAGCAGCAGCACCACUAGCAGCAGCUACUAUCCCCAGUCGAAGCAGCCGCAGAUUGUGAUUGAUCGGGGAGCGGGACUGGGAUCGGGCUCUGGCGUGUCCAUGGCAGCGGCGGAGGCCGGAGCACGGGGUGGCCAGCGUGGUGGCCUGCUGGGCGCCACGAGGGGCGGCGGCGGCAGCAGCUCGGUCAGCUCCACGGAGGCCGCCUACUGGGAUGAGCCGGCCACCAGUUCCUCCUCAUCGGCGGCCCAGGACUCGCGACGCUUCACCGAGCGCAGAAUAAAGAAGACGGUGCGCUUCGAUGCCCAUGACGAGGAGGCCUCCAUACUGGCGGCCACUGCCUCCUCACUGCCGCCGGUCACGGGAAUCCUGCCCUCCACGGCCGUGGAUGUGGGUGCGGCCACCAUACUGAGCAGUGGCAAGAGCCUGGACGCGGGCGGCAUGGGAGUGCCGGUGGGAGGCGAGUGGUCGCGCUGGGAGGCCGAGCGGCAGGGCAGCCAGGACUCGGCCACCAAGGAUUCGGGCAUCGACACCAGCAGCACCUUCACCAGCAGCGAGGACUCGAAUCGAGGAGAUGGGCCCAAGAAUCCGGUGAAUUGGCAAACAUCCGCGGACAAUACUCGCCUGAUCGGGCACAUGAUAUUGCGUAAAUACUAUGACGGGGAGGAUAUAUUAGGCUUAAAGGUCAACGGCGGUCAGCCCCUGGGAGCGGGAGCGGGAACGGGAGGAGGCCCAUGCGGGGCCAUUGUGGAGAAGGUGAAGCGCGGAUCGGUGGCCGAUCUCGAGGGACGGAUUCGACCAGGCGACGAGAUCCUCGAGUGGAAUGGCCGCGGGCUGCACAACAAGAGUGCCGACGAGGUGUACGACAUCAUCGACGAGAGUCGCCUGGACGCCCAGGUGGAACUGAUCGUGAGCCGGCCCAUCGGCAGCGGCGGCGGCGGCGGCAGUGGCGGGAGCAGCAGCAACGUCAGUCCGAUCAGCGGAGCCUCCGGCGGAUCCGGCCACAGCGGUGUGCCCGCCCGGCGCUCCUCGGCCAACUUCCCGCACAGCGGGCUGGCCAGCAGCAUGGCCGGCAGCGCGGUGGUCAGCAGCGGCGGACGAUAUCUCCAGCGCAAAGCUCCCGCCGUCGAGGCCAUUGAAAUCCACCGGGACAAGCCCAGUGUGCUGAUCACCUCGCCCGGCUCGCCGGACAUCCACACGAGUGUUUCCGGACCUGGUUCGGUAGCAGGAUCGGGUUCGGGCUCAGGAUCUGGAUCUGGACUCCGGCAACGUGGCGGCGUCGGGCAGACGCAGCGCCUGGGACCAAGCCACAGCACCCACAGCCACAGCAGCAGCGGGAGUGGCAGCGGCAGCGGCAGCAGCACCAGCAGCGUCCACGCCCCCGCCUCCGCCCACGGCCCCACCCACGCGUCCGCUUCCGGUUCCGCCCCUGGCGGCCUGCACGGCACAACGACGGCGGGCCACCAUCACCACCCGCACCACUACCACCCGCACCAGCACCCGCAUCCGCAUCAGCAUCCGCACCAGGGUCCGCCCGCCGCCCACCUGCAAGGCCACGGGGUGGGCGGUGGCCUCGGCAUGGGCAGCGGCUCCGGCACCACCACACAGCCCAUCCCCAUCGAGGGGCGGCUGCAGCUGAAGCUGGGCUACGACCAGAACACCCUGCAGCUGAUCGUGACCCUGGUCUGCGCCACCGGCCUCUCCCUGCGCCAGAGCGGAGCGGGCCGCAAUCCCUAUGCUAAAGUGUUCCUUCUGCCCGAUCGCAGCCACAAAUCCAAGCGGCGAACCAAGACGGUGGGCACCACCUGCGAACCCCGCUGGGGCCAGACCUUUGUCUACUCCGGUCUGAGACGCUGUGACCUCAAUGGCCGCCUGCUCGAGGUGACGCUGUGGGACUAUGUGCGGUAUGGGGCGAACGACUUCAUCGGCGAGGUGGUCAUCGAUCUGGCGCACCACAUCCUGGACGACGAGGCCGAGUGGUAUCAGCUGCAGCCCCACCAGGACACCUCCUAUCUCUUACGUGACGAGGGCAGCGAUGUGGACGGCCUGAUACUGACACCGACAGAUCAUUUAUCACCGCCGAGCACCAUGUCGCGUCUGAGCGACUCGGACACCACGUCCGACUGCGACAUCGAUGGAAUGACUCCGGGGGCCAGCAUCUCGUCGAUGGGCAGCUCAGCGAGUCCGCCGCCCCUGCUAGAGCUCGAUCUAAACGAGCGUCGGUCCCGACGAGACAUGUCGCCCCAGGGCCGCAAACGGGUGGCCGGGAUGGUGGCCCGCGACUACCGCACUGUAUCUGGCAUUGGACAAAGUUACCACAAUCAGGCCUCUGCCACCGGCUACUAUCGUCGCGGAGGUGGUAAUGGUAUCGGCUCCUCCAUCGGUCCCGGUGGCAUGAGCCUCAGCCAGCGGAGCCACUCGGCAGCGCCCAGCGACGGUUACCACAGCAGCGGAGGAGGAGGCGGAGUGGGCGGAGUGCCCUCCGGCGGAUCCGCCUACGGCUAUCGCAGCACCAGUCCCCGUAGGGGAUCCCUCUCGCCACCCGACGACCGCUACAUAGACUAUCCAGUGCUUCCAGUUCACGGCUCGCCCAACGCCCCGUCGGUCUACCAGGGACCGGGUGGUGCGUCCUCAGCGGCGGCGGCUGCCUCGCAGCAGCAGCGAUUCCAGUCGCGAUCGGCCACAGCCACGCCCACGGGAUCCCCCAAGAAGAGGCAACUACCACAGGUGCCGCAGACCUCUCGCAGUGCCAUGCUGCGGGACCGCCUAGGACAGGACUUCGACGAGCGGCUGGCCUCUGGUGGCCGCUUCGGACGGCAUCGCACACGGCAGCCGCACCACCAGGCCACGUACCGCAGCACCGGGAUGGGCGGCUGGGAGCGGCACUACACGGGGCUGUCGGACAGCGACCUGCACUCGAUGGACGCCCGGAUGCGGCCAAGGCACUCGCUGUCGCCGGACAAGGACUUCAUGGGCGAGUUCGGCGACUCGGACAUGGAGUCGGUGGUCAGCGUGACCUCCAGCGCCUUCUCCACGCAGUCGGAGCGACCGCGCACCUCGCGCGGACUCAGCUUCCCGCGCAACUGGCGCAACCUCUUUGGCGUCCGCAACAGUUUCCUCAGCGGAUCAGGAGGCGAACCCAUCACUGGACUCCGGCUGCACCACUCGGAGCCCGGCAGGGCCAACACCAUCGAGGUGGAUGACUGUGACUAUCUGCCGGUGGGCGGGGCCCAGCAGUUGGUGUUGCUGGAGCAACUGCAGCAACUGGCUGCUCUGGCGGCAGCCGACUCACCGCCCAUUUCCGCCGGGAUUGGAAUGCCACCACUAGCAGCACCACCCUUACCACCACAUCAGGUGCUGGUGACCGAUGCCAACAGUGGCCAGCUGGUGGAGCAGUUCUUCGUGGAGCCCGGCACCAUGGCCGAGGAGAUGAUGGAGCCACUCGAUCCACUCGAUCCCCAUGCGCAUCUGCAUCCACUCCAUUCCGCCUUCUACUCGCCAUCGCCCCAUUUGCCAUUCGACAUCGACAUCUAUCCACCACGACGGUCCAACGGACAGAAACCGAACGUACAAGCCGCUACCGCCGCUGCCUAUCCGCUGCCACUGCUGCCGAGCUUUGAGCAAUUCAAGCGCAUUACCACGCCCAUCACGAAUCUCUUCCGCAGCUCCUCGCCCCCGGGCCACCAUGGCCACGCCCAUGCCCACGACCACGCCUCCACGACGCCCAGUUCGCUGGUGGGCUAUGUGCGCGAUCACCAGGACAAGAGCUGCAGCCACUGCCAGAAUGGAAGUCAGCCGGUGGUGCUGUCGACACACCACACCCUGCACCUGACCACCGCCGGCCUGGCGAUUGGCGCUUGCCAGGAUCCCUGCUGUCUGGCGGAUGCCCAUCCGCAUCCGCAGCACCAGCCCAUGGGCUAUCCCGUGGGUGAAGCACCCUCCGUGGAUCCGGCAAUGUGUGGCGAGUGUGUGGAUCAGCACUUUCUGGGCGGGCUGACGGGACCACAGCUGAAUCUGGGCGUGGUGCCCACCUACCAUGUGCACACCCCGACCCCAAAUGCCCAUCGUCGGGCCAGGGGUCAAAUGGCCACACCUGCACCACCGCCCACUCAAUCGGUGCUUCGGCUAUCAAGACAGCUGAGCGAAGACGCCCUGGUGGCCGCCGUACCCAUCUCGGAGGCCAAGGCGCAACCCACUUCGAUCCUGAAGAAACCGAAGCUGGAGCGAAGACGACUCUUCCACGAGGGUCAGUCGAGGUCGUUGGACUACGACGAUCUGCACACGAAGAGCUGGGGUCGCCGUCGAAUUCGCUACGAGGACGAGGUGAUGCCCUCGUCGGGGGACUAUCCCUAUCCGCAUCCCAAUCCCUAUGCCAACCACUCACCAACCACGGCGGCCAUGUCGCGUCGCUAUGGAUCGGAGACCAAUAUCCGGCAGUCGUACAUGGGGGCCAAUGUGGAUGCCAACAAUCCGUUGAGUCACUCGCAUUUCCUGGUCACGGAUGACAAGAUCGUGACCAUUACCUAUGACUCGGAUGUGGGCUGGACGCGUCGGGGCGUGGCUCCAUCCCUGUUUCGGGGGGCUCACCGCCAGCGGGGAUUGGCGGAUGCCAGGCAUCACAUGUCGCUGGAUCUGCAGCGAACCAGCCAGCAGAAGUUGUACGGACCGGCGGCACCUUACCUCAAGCGCCGAAGGAAUCUGCCGCAUCCGCCAAGUGCGCAGAAUGCCCACAACUUUUCACCAAUGGAGCCGGGUUCGGAAAUGGGAAUGGAUCAGGGCAACGGAAUGGGCAGCGGUGGUGCGCACAACACUACCGGUACCAGUACACACAAUAGCAACCACCACACCACCAACCACCACAAUAGCCAAGCGAGUAGUGUUAGUGUUAGCCAAAGUCACAAUCAACAAUCUCAACAACAACAACAACAACAACAAACAGUUAGGCAAAAAGGGAAAGAAGGCACCACCGCCAAUAGCGGAUCGAUGAUGGCAUCGGAGCAGCUGACGAAAUCUAGUAGUGGGAGCGGUGGUGCAACAUCUGCUGCCGCUGCUGGGCAUCUUGUCGUCGGUGGUACUAAUGCUAAUAAUGCUUCUUCUUCCUCUUUUGCAAAUCCCCAACCACCACCACCACAACAACAACUACUACAACUACAACAACUUCAUGGAUCACCCAACAAUAUCAACAACAAUAUUAAACGUGCCCCAUCAUCAACACCACAACAACAAAACACGAACACCAACAAUGACGCCAACAACCUGACGCUUGACCCCACACAACAACAACAAAUACCACCUUCACAACAACAACAACCACCAAAUACAUGCACAAAUCUGAUCACAAAUACAACAACAACAUUAACAACAACAACCACAACAUCGUCGAAUGCAACGAAUGCGGCGACAACGACAACCGCAACAACAACUGCGACAACAACAAAUGCUACAACAACUGCCACAAAUCCAACAACAACAACAACGAAUACCACUAACGAACCAAACGCAACAACAACCAGAACAACAACGAACGCUAACGCCGAUGCGGAUGCGGACGCGGAUGCUCCGCUGGACGCCAUCGACUGGGAUGCAAUCGAUGCGAUGCUGGACGACGAUUUCAGCGAGUACGACAAAGACAAGAACGGAGCCGACGAUCCUGGCGCCUCCAAGUCGGCGGAGGGCGGUGGUGCCGAAGAUAAAGUCGAUGGCAGCCUCUCGGACACCGGGAACGACCGGAAGAAGGGCGGCGGCGUCGACCAGGAGCGGUCCCCCAAGGGAGGCAGCGGCAUGGGCAAGAAGUCCAACUCCACCUCGCAGCUCUCGGCCACAGGUCGUAAAAGACGUAUGGGCUUUGGAAAGAAGGGUAAGAACUCGUUCACGGUGCACCGCAGCGAAGAAGUGCUGCCCGGCGAUAUAACGCGAGAACUGCGAAGCGGUGGCGGUGGCGGACUGGGCGUUAGUCUCGGCGGUGCCGGUGGUGCCAGUGGCGCCGGCGGCUCAGGCGGCGCCGGCGGGGGCGGCCUGUCCCGCGGCUCGUCCUCGGAGGCGGACGCCAUCGAGCAGUUCUUCGGCGAUGGCGCCGGCGGGGAAAGAUUCUCCCCCUCGUUGCGCAAUGAUGGAGCCCUCAAUGAGUUCGUGGAUGGUUUGGGACCAGGUCAACUGGUGGGUCGCCAAGUGCUGGGAGCACCCUCGCUGGGCGACAUCCAGCUGUCGCUGUGCCAUCAGAAGGGCUGUCUGGAGGUGGAGGUCAUACGGGCCAGGGGCUUACAGCAAAAAGCCCAGUCAAAAAUGCUGCCUGCUCCUUAUGUAAAGGUUUACCUGGUGUCGGGAAAACGCUGUGUGGACAAGAUGAAGACCUCUUCGGCUCGCCGAACUCUGGAUCCACUGUACCAGCAGCAGUUGGUAUUCAAGCAGUCCUACACCGGUUGCAUACUACAGAUAACCGUUUGGGGCGACUAUGGACGCAUCGAGAAGAAGGUGUUUAUGGGCGUGGCGCAGAUAAUGCUCGACGAUCUGAAUCUGUCGAAUAUCGUGAUCGGCUGGUACAAGCUCUUUGGCACCACCUCCCUGGUCAGUUGUCCCACUAAUAUAGGCUUAGGCUCUAGGCGCUCAUCCAUAGCCUCACUCGACUCACUCAAACUCUAGCUCUUAAAAAAACUGAAACUCGGCUAAAACCAGAAUUUUUCCAACUCAAAUCGUACAAGAAAAAAAAAAACAAAAGAAAAAACUAAAAUAGAAAUUUCGCAAAUUUGAUAAAAACAAAAUAAACACUUGCAUAUAUUUAUAUAAACCUACACACACAGAACAUAUAUUUAUAUAGUAUUUAGCUCAACGUUUUGUUCAUAGCAAUUUACCAAGAACAAGAGUUGUACAACUUUGUAGAGUAAUCAGUCGCAAAAUCCUGUAAAAAGAGCGCCCCAAACUAAAAUCGAUCAGUUUAAAGAUCCAGCCAAAUUAAUUUGAAAUUAAAACGAUAAUAUAGUAAACAUCAAAGCAUUUGUUUUUAGUUAGCAAUAUAUACAUACGCACUCCUGUAAAUGAAAAGCUUAUUAUAUAAUUCACGGAAAACCCACACACACACUACACCUACACCCAUGAGGCAAAGUAGAAUAAAAAUUCGCAUUGUAUGCUGAAACGUUGAAUGGAAAGUUGAAAGUUGAUCGAAAGCAAAAAAGCAAACCAAUCAAAAACUAAACUGCAAAACCAAAUUAUUACGAAAAUAACCUUUCGCAAGUCACCAUAAAUCACCGUUACCGUUAAAGUUACCGUUACUUCAACGUAGUUUUCACAUAGACUCGUAUAAUACUCAUAUAGGUAUGUUUCUCUAUCCCCAACUACCCGAUCAAAAACCAAAAUUUAAUAGAACCGAAUCACACUCAAACCCGUUUUGCUUGGCAUUUUCCUAGUGCAUGAGUAGUUAAAUAACAUUUUUAAUUAUUAUAAUUUACAUACGAUCCACAAAGCUUUAAUUGAUUUGAAAAUUCUGAAUAACAUAGAUUUUGUAAAACACCACCACAACACACAUGAAUACAAAAUGGCAAAUCCUGGCUAGCUGUCAAACAUACAUAUACCUAAUAGCCAUUUCCUAGGCCUAGCUCACUUUUGUAAGCCUUAUAAGCCACGAAAGCCAGUGCUGUUACCAACCAACUUUGAAACCACACCAGGGUCGUCCGAUCGUUUGGGCCGGCGAAUCAGUCAUUAUGGAGGAGCCGGGCGAAUAACAGUUUCCAACACUAUCGACAGCCAAACCAACUAACAACACUACAACAACGAAAACACUUUAAAGCACCCAAGCACAAUUCAAUUCAAGCGAACUCUAAACUGAACUGAAGUCAUAACCAUUCGCCAGUGCUGUCAGCCCGGCAGCCAAAUAGCAAAGGACCAAAGGUUAGCCUGCAGCGGCGGAUCCCAAGAAAUAGAAGCCGCCCGAUCCUCAUUCGGCAGGUUGCUGGCCCAAGCUGAGUCCACAUCUGAUCUGUUUUUUUCUAUUCUACGGCGGCGGAAGACUUGGAAACAUACCACAAGAAAAAUAAGAGAAAAGAAGAGAAAUAUCUAAUUUUUAUAAGUCAUGAAAACAAUUGCAUUUAAACGAACCGAGAACAGAGAACACAAGCGCGAGCAGUAAAAUGAUUAAGCGUAACUACGGAGUACAGAUAAAUGAUAAAUGUAAAGGCAGUCUAUAUAUACAUAUACACCUAUAUAACGGAUAACAUUUGACAAAGGAUACUUGUAAAUUAUGCAUAUUUAAAAUAAUUUUUAUUAUUACACACCUAAGAUCACUAUUAUUUUCGUAAUACGAUUACUGCGAUUAUUAUUACUUACAACUAUUAUUGAUAAAAGAAAAACCAAACAAAAAACGACAAAAAAAAAUACGAAAAAAUGGAGAAAACCAAGGAGAAGGUGGAUAAAGUUCAAGUGCUAGUGUCAGUCAUGCCUAAGCCUUAGCCUGAGCAGAGACGCAGAAGGAUAUAAAUUGUUUAUUGAAUAAAUAGCUAAAUCUAAAUCAGUAAAGGGAGUUAUAGAUUUUCAGAGAAGGGAGUUAUUUAAGUAUAUAUACAUACAUAUAUAAAUCGAUAUAUACAUAAAUAUAUUUUACCGUUUAAGCAAGCAAAGAACCACUAACACUUAAAUAAGCCUAACUUACGAUAAAACCGAUAAAGUUAAAGCUUAAGAUAGGUAACUAAAAUGGGAGAUAUGAGAUAUGUAUUAAUCGAACAAGAAGAACAACAAAUAUUUACCAAGCGAGAGAGACGAGAGCAAGUUUAACUUAAUAAUGCAAAAUCUGAACUUAAGCUGUACAUAGGAUCCACACACACGUUACAUAACACACCACAUCCGGAUAACCGAUACCGAUUACCGAUUACCCACAACCGCUUCCCCGAGUUUAGGCUUUAUAGCUAUGGUUUGGCUCUGCGCCCCGUCAAAAACUCCACAGCAACCCCAAAAUGUCAGAGUUUUUGAUGGCGGCGAUGAGGAUGUUAUACACACAGUAUCGUAUAAUUUAACUUAGGGCAAAUGGAAAACUCUCUCUCUAUAUGAAUACACUAUAUCGCGAACUCCUUGUUUUUUCUGUAGAUCCCCUCGCUUCACUUUGUGGCGCUUCUAGAGUCGGUUUAGAAUCCUUUUUGUCGCCUUGGUUCCAAGCAACUUGCCUCGAAAAAUAAAACGCAUCAAGUACCUUCAAGUUAAUAGUGUGAGCUGUAAAAAUCGUUACCUGCUUGCCAAAGAUACACGUACAUUAGCAUAGAUCGAAGUGGGAGAAUGGACAAUGGAAAAGUGUAACGGAAAACCAAAAAUAGUUUGCAAUUUACUGCAUGUUAAUUUGAGAUAUUUUUGGCGUUCUUUUGGGCAACAUUUUGCAAUGCAUUCCUGGGGAGCAGCAAACAUAUCACUGGCCUGCAGACAGAGAUGAUGGAUGGGAGCAGUUAACUUUUAUACAUAGGUCAUAGGACAUACAUAGGUCAGCAGUCAGAGGGCAGCCGGAUAGCUACAUAUGAUUACGAGACGACACCUAGCUAUUGUUCCUAUCCAGUUGUUUAGAGCUCAUUCUUUUUGCUUUCACUCAUGGCUACGCAUAUUGAGUUGAACCUUUCCGUCCAUCCAUUCAGAUACACACAGCUAAACAUAGACACAGUUGCUUACAGCUACAGAUACAGAUACAGAUUGAGGUAAAGUUAAAUAUAUAUAUUGACAUGUGCAUAUCCAUCCAAGCAGCAGCUUCCUAUAUCAGAACUAAACAACUAAGAGAUACGUAAUGAAAUGCCGAAACACAGGAAAAAUGCAUUCAAAAUGUUGCUGCAAAAAUUCACAAAGAACAUACGCAUCGAGCAUUCGAAUUUCGAAACAUGAGGAGGAUAGCGCGCUUCAGAUAUUUGGGAAAAGUAAAAACUACCAGCGAGGUUUCCAGCAACUAAUUAUACGAUAUAUAAGUCAAAGGAACAUACAUUCAGAUACAUACAUUAUAGAUAAUCAGAUUUGUAAUCUCCGCUCUUCACGAACCUCAUACGAACUUUUCUAUGAUAAAACUCUCUCUAUCUCUACCUAUAUAUUGUUUCCACUGCUCUCCUUCGGCAAACAUUCAAAGAUGCUUUGAUUACUCGGCGAAACCAGCAAAGUGGAAGAACAGAACUACCAGAAACUUCGGCGAGUUCGACGUUCAAUGCCCUUGCCAAAAAGAAUUGGCAUCCCAGAGAUUUAUAAACUUGCUGAAAAAACUCCAAGAUAUUCCAUCUUUGGCAGGGGCAUUUCUACCGCGCAGUCAUAACAGAAAUUCUUAUUAGGAUUCCUAUAGAAUUCGUUACAUUUAAGUCACACCAAAGACAAAAAACAUAUAGAAAAUGUUAAUGAAGCAAAUGAUAUAUUAUGGCAAGUUAUUUCAAUGGCAACCAAUACAAGAAACAAAAUUUACUAAGUUCAAUUUGAAUGACAGGCGACGUUGAAACACACGAUACACAAGGAGAUCAACACACGAGAAUAUAUCAUUUAUUGCAAAUGUUGAACUAAAUUGAUUAAAGGGCGAAGGUCUGCGCUCUCGCUGGGCGCCCCCGAACACCUUAUAUUGUAUUUUAAUAUCUCGACAACAAUCGAAGGUCGAGAAACGACAAUAAACUGUGAAAUGAAUAUGUAAAAACCAAAUAAAAACACAAAAAACUAAAUUAUACUAAAAAUUGCGGAGAAGAGCAUUAUUAAUAUUGAUGAACACAGAAACUUGAAUUGUGUAAAACUAAAAACUAAAGAGAAAAUUUAAUGAAAAGCAACAUUUAAAGAACAAAACAAAAGAAAAAUUCAUUAAAAAUUGUUUUCUAAUAAAGCAUAA